UACGUAGGGGCCUAGCGUUGUCCGGAUUUAUUGGGCGUAAAGAGCUCGUAGGCGGUUCGGCAAGUCAGGUGUGAAAUCUCCGCGCUCAACGCGGAGGAGCCACCUGAUACUGCCGUGACUUGAGUCCGGUAGGGGAGUGCGGAAUUCCCGGUGUAGCGGUGAAAUGCGUAGAUAUCUGGAGGAACACCGGUGGCGAAGGCGGCAUCCUGGACCAAUUCUGACGCUGAGGAGCGAAAGCCAGGGGAGCAAACGGG
rnacentral:rRNA from 1 species